rnacentral:rRNA from 1 species
AGCAGCCGCGGUAAUUCCAGCUCCAAUAGCGUAUAUUAAAGUUGUUGCAGUUAAAAGCUCGUAGUUGAACUUCGGGAUCAAUGGAUCGGUCAUGCCUUGGUAUGUACUGAUCAUAUUGGUUCUCACCUUCUAACGAACCAUAAUGUCAUUCAUUUGAUGUUAUGGGGAAUUAGGACUGUUACCUUGAAAAAUUGAGUGUUUAAAGCAGGCUCACGCUUGAAUACAUUAGCAUGGAAUAAUGAAAUAGGACAUCGCAUUCUAUUUUGUUGGUUUCUAGGAUCGAUGUAAUGAUUAAUAGGGAUAGUUGGGGGCAUUAGUAUUCAAUUGUCAGAGGUGAAAUUCUUGGAUUUAUUGAAGACUAACUACUGCGAAAGCAUUGCCAA